rnacentral:misc_RNA from 1 species
AACGCACAUUGCGCUCGAGGCCUCGGCCGAGAGCAUGUCUGCCUCAGCGUCGGCAUAACCCUCGCCAAACCCUCGGUAUGGCGGAGUUGGCCGUCUUGCUGCCGACCGGUUCCGACCGGUCAGCGGGUCGGCUGAAGCUGAGCGGCUACAGUAAACCCUUAUUGGGCGCUGGCUCGGUAGGUAGCUUCGGCUGCAUGCCGCCAGACCGCUCUGGGCUUGCUGCACGCCCACUUUAUUUCUCAAUUCGACCUGAGAUCAGGCAAGAGCACCCGCUGAACUUAA